GCAAGUGAGGGACAUUUGGCUUCGACUUCUAUUAUGGCAUCAUGUGCCAGGCAGAUUCAGUUGAUGUAGCUAAAUUGUGUCUCUUUUCUCCUGACUACUACAGAUACCCCAGUCUCAAAGCUUCAUGAUCAGUUGGUAAGGAUGACUUUCCUCAGAGGAGGAAGGUCAUAGAUAAAGGGCAGAUGAGCAGCUGAAAGCUCCUGUGAGAACCUCCAAACAUGCUCUCAAGAGAUGAUCUCACGUUUACUGCAUGUCUGUUCCCACUUCCAUUCCUCACUCAGAUUCACAAU
rnacentral:snRNA from 1 species